UGCAGUGAGCUGAUAUCGUGCCAUUGCACUCCAGCCUGGGCAACAAAGUGAGACUUAGUCUCAAAAAAAAAAAGAAAUACAUCUAACCAAAGAGAUGCAAUAUGUGUACAUUGACAAUUUAGAAAUACUGCUCAAAGAAAUAACAAAAGACCUAAAUGAGGAAAAACUCAUCCCAGAAUCAUAAAUCAAAAGGCUUUAGGUUAGUUCUGUCCCUCCAGAGAACCUUGACUAACACAUUCAUCCCUUUU
rnacentral:lncRNA from 1 species